rnacentral:rRNA from 1 species
UACGGGGGGAGCAAGCGUUGUUCGGAUUUACUGGGCGUAAAGGGCGCGUAGGCGGCCAGCACAAGUCAGUUGUGAAAUCUCCGAGCUUAACUCGGAAAGGUCAACUGAUACUGUGCGGCUAGAGUGCGGAAGGGGCAACUGGAAUUCUUGGUGUAGCGGUGAAAUGCGUAGAUAUCAAGAGGAACACCUGCGGCAAAGGCGGGUUGCUGGGCCGACACUGACGCUGAUGCGCGAAAGCCAGGGGAGCGAACGGG